GACGAACGCUGGCGGCGUGCCUAAUACAUGCAAGUUGAGCGCUGAAGGUUGGUACUUGUACCAACUGGAUGAGCAGCGAACGGGUGAGUAACGCGUGGGGAAUCUGCCUUUGAGCGGGGGACAACAUUUGGAAACGAAUGCUAAUACCGCAUAAAAACUUUAAACACAAGUUUUAAGUUUGAAAGAUGCAAUUGCAUCACUCAAAGAUGAUCCCGCGUUGUAUUAGCUAGUUGGUGAGGUAAAGGCUCACCAAGGCGAUGAUACAUAGCCGACCUGAGAGGGUGAUUGGCCACAUUGGGACUGGGACACGGCCCAAACUCCUACGGGAGGCAGCAGUAGGGGAUCUUCGGCAAUGGACGAAAGUCUGACCGAGCAACGCCGCGUGAGUGAAGAAGGUUUUCGGAUCGUAAAACUCUGUUGGUAGAGAAGAACGUUGGUGAGAGUGGAAAGUUCAUCAAGUGACGGUAACUACCCAGAAAGGGACGGCUAACUACGUG
rnacentral:rRNA from 1 species